CCGUCCCGUGCGCCGCGCACGCACCCAAACCAAGUAACCAACCCAAUCUAGUCCUGCCACGCACUGUGCACAACCAGUCCCCUCCUUCCGCACGAAUCCUACCAGAGAGAGGAAGAUGGGAGGGAGAGAGAGAGGAGGAAGAUGGGAGGAGGGAGAAAGAGAGAGGGAGAGGAGAGGGAGGUCUGGCGGCGGACGGGAAAGGGUGACCAGCCAGCGUUGGCCUGUGCCCCUCCUCUCGUAGGAACCCUAGCGGAGAGAGAAGAUGAGAGGGAGAGAGAGAAGGAAGGAGAGAAGGGAGAAAGAGAGAGGAAAAAGGAGAGGGAGGUGCGACGGCUGACGGGAGAGAGGAUCACCGGCCGGCGUCGGUCUGCGCCGGCCAGGAUGGGCGCGACCUGGAGGUUGGCGGCGGCUCGAUCCGCUCCUGGAUCGGGAACUGCGACGGGGCUGGGUCUCGGGCGCGAUUCACGGGAGGCUGCACUCCGCCUCUUCCUCGUGGUGCGGCGGACGGCGGCUCUUGCGGCCGUGCGGCCGACGGCGGCCUCAGCGGGUGGGCGAUGACACCUACAGCUGGUGUUCUACCCAUGGAUUCCCGUACAGCCCGAGGCGCUCUGGACAAAUUAGGCCUGAGCCAAUGGGGGAGAAGACGGAGUAUAUGGAUGAGCAGCUGGAGCACACGUUCAUUUGAUGUUUGCGCGCAAGAUGGAGAAGUUCGCUAGAAGGAAGAAGAGUUGGGCGGCGAGGAGGAGAAGAAGGCGGUCUGCGAGCUGCUUGCACGCGCAGCAGCAGGAGUCCGCCCGUGAGGUGCUCCUCUGGAUACUCCCUUCCGGCGCCGGGCUUACGUGUUCAACACCGCCCUCACUGUCCCCUUCUUCCAUUGGCUCAUCGGUCGGUCAGAGGUUAUCGAGGUGGAGGUCAACGGGGUGAGACAGAGAAGUGGAGUGCUCAUAAAGAAACGCAGCUGCUGCCUGGAUUCGCCGUCGUGGCCGCCGCCUCCAGUCGCUUCCACCUGGACAUCCUUCGCCAACAAGGUAAUUUCGUUCCGGUCCCAGCUGUCCUCCUAUCCUCCGCGCUUGAUUGCUAUGAGUUCUUGUUGUGUGUGUGCUUGCUGGCUUAGUGAUGUGUGUGUCCGGGAACCCAUUGUGUUCUUUUUUAUGGAUUGCUGCUGCGUGCAUGAUUGUUGUGGCUGGCUUGGUGGUAGCAUCAUACAUACUGUUCUGGUUGGUUAGCUUGACGCUCUAAAGCUAGGCUUUUAAUUCUCUGGGUGUAAGUAAUGUAUUGCUAUACCAGAUAAAAUAUACACAUGCAUUGCAAACAUGAUUCUGCUUAUACGCGGAAGUAUAUUUUUCAAAUCUAUCUCUUCAAUUCUUAGGACCAUUCUUUACUGAAAGUCUAGAACUAUGUAAUUUGGUAAUCGUGUCAAAGUUCGCCUGGUUGUGCCGUAUUACAUUGUGAUUUGUGAAUGCUAUGUCGUUGGGGAAUCAGCGAGCUUGGUUAUAUUUCUGGGGCCAUCAUGUUAACUGGUGCUGGUAGCGCUCGCUUGCUAGCUAUGAGUUCUUGUUCUGUGUUUGCUUACUGGCUUAGUUAUGUGUGUUUGUCCGGGCACCUAUUGUGGUUUGUUUUUUGCUAGCUUGCUGCUGCGUGCAUGAUUGUUGUAACCGGGUGCUGGCUGUUUGGUGCUGGGCUGCUGAUGGCAUGAGACCCGCUUCAAAAAAAGGAAUGAAAGGAAGCAUUUGUUCAUAGAACAAAUAUAUUGUAAAAAUUUCCAUGGAAAGCCUGCAUAUUUAGCUCGGAAAAGGGGUCUAAAGAGGCUUAGAUUCUUGUUAUGUAUUGAUUUUGUAAAAUAUCUGCAGCUAUAUAUUGCUCAAUCAAAGAAAGAUUUUACUCAACCUUCAGUGUAAUGUAUUUCUAAUUGUUCAGAACUACUUCAAGUUUUGUUGUGAUUUUGCAAGAUUCUGAAAUUAUUGUAUUUCGGAAUUGUUAUACUGAUUCCUCGAUGCUCUGUUCAUGGCUUUGUUCUUAUUUUAUCCUUAGUUAUUUGAUUUUUCCUUUCCUACAAGAAGAUGCUGAGUCAUGUAAUAUGUUCAAAGAAGAGAGAAUCUGCAUUUUCUGAAUGCUUUCUUCUUUCUUCAUUGUUACUUCAAGUUAGCGAAUCCAGUUAAGUUGUACUGAGAAGAUUCAUACGCAUGCUUUCUCCAUCUACACAUCUUAUUCAGUCACGAGGCCAUUAAGAUCUUUUGCCUUUUAGAAAAAGGGAGAUGCCAUUUAGACCUUACUCUGUUCAACUUGAUCUUUAACUUGCUACUACUGUUUCUAAGCAUUUUCCCAAGCAUUGUUUUAUUUGCAUCAGAGAAUGAGCUCACCUUAUUCAGUGGAUGUGACAAGUAAAAAAUUAGAAACUGAGCAAUUAGUUCCACUCUUAAAUUUUGUACAGCAGUCCAAAUUAUCCAAUAAAUCAUUUGUUAGCAGGGUCUAAUUAUAGAAGUGGAAUCAGUUGUUCCAAAUUACCCAGUCCAAAUUGUGGAUGUUAAAAAUCUGUUUUGUGUUAGUCAAAUUGUUGAAAGCCGGAGCUGGGUCGAGGAGCCGGCCUCCGCCUUCGCCAUUGCCUGAGAGAAGCAACACCAGCAUUGGGCGUUCCAUGUGGAGAAUGAUGAGGUAUGGCAUGGAAUGGUUGGGUUUUGAGUGGUAGGUGAUCCCUAUGCCGGCGGUGAUAGCAGCCAUCAUUGGUACAUUUCAGUAAUAUGUAAGUCCAUUUCAGGCCCUGUUUGUUUGGGCUUUUGCUUCUGCUUUUGCAGCUUUUCUAUUUUAGCCAAAAAGCCAUAAAAGCUAGGUGCUUUUAGAGCUUUUAUGGCUUUUGGAGCUGAAUAUUGUUAUAUUGAUUCAUCAAAAGCCAAAAAAGCUCCAAAAGCACCUAUUUAGGAGCUUUUAUGGCUUUUUGGCCAAAGUGGAAAAGCUGCAAAAGCAGAAGCAAAAGCCCAAACAAACAGGGCCUCAGUAAUAUGUCUUGUUUUACUUCCUCCGCGGUGACUCUGGAUGUAUUCUCGGCUUUACAGUCAGUAAAAAGAAGGCAUGCAAAACAUUAUGUUUUUGCCUUGGUUGAAUGUCUCAUUUAAUUGUCGCUUAUUUAUUUCAAGUUACUGAAUUCGCAUCAAACUUUCCUUGUGCUUUCCAUUAAUAAAUAAGAAAUUAAUACGCAAUGUUUUUAAUAUGUGAGGAGGCGAGAGAAGAAGAAAAGAGGGGUUGUCAGGUUGGACCUUGGUACGUCUCUGACCAGAGAUGGUUGGAUCCGUCCGACGCUCAGUGCAUUCUAGAUUCAAUGGGUAGUACAUGGAGCUUAUUUACUUUGCCGCUCUUAUGGCUUUAUCUGUACUUGACAUAUCAAGAGCUGGUGGGGGGUGUACUCUCUCCCUCAAGGUAAGCGUGAAUGCAACGGACAUUGAUUGUGGCUGUUUAGAUAAAAAAUUGAGUGCAAAUUGAGUUUUAACAGUGAGACUUAUUCCAUUUGUUUAUCCUUUUGGCCUUUUAAUCAAGAACAAUGUUCAGAGCUUACAUGGUUGUCUAAAUUUAGUUUUGUAAAAGAGCAAUAUUGAUAUCAUGCAAUGAUCGGUGCAAAUUAGGAUAGUCAUAGAGUUCUUCCUCAGUUGUCAUUGAGCAAAGAUUGAAUCUGUGUGAUUUGUUCUAAUACCAAGUAAAUCUUGGUCUGCAUUGUGUUAGUUUUCAUACUGAGUUUUUUUUGGCUAUUUUCGUUUGAAUUGGGAGUUGAUGUGAAAAAGAGUGUGUGUUGACAUGCAUGUAACCAAAUCAUGUAUUAAUGUGAGGUACUACAUAUACUUGCAUAUCUCUUUUCAGAAGCACGACCCUCUUGAUCCAACUAGGAACAUCAAAACUAAAAUGGGAUAUCAUUGACUGGACUUCAGAUGGCCAUGCUGUGAGUUCACCAUUACUAAAUAGUAUCUGAAUCUUCUUUGUAUAAUUAAGACACACUUUCUACAUAGAGCUGCUAUAGUGAUACCAUGUGAUCACUUAACAUGAGUGCGACUAGCCUAUUUUCUCUAUUUAAAAGUAGAGUUGUGUUUAUCAUAAAAUUUAUAUACCAUGGACUUGUUGCUUUCUGUUUAUAUAAUAGGGCAGUUCGUCUUCUAUCAUCUGUUUUCUUCAUUACAUGUCUCUUAGAUUGUUGGAGAGGCCUUUACGAAUAAGUUGAUUAACUACAUUUAUGUGUUAAUAUAUUUGCCUGAUGGGUUUCCCUAUUAUGGCUCAUGGUCAUAGAUGUAGUCUGCCUUUGCUAUUGUUGUUUCUCCAAAUAGUAUCUACAUCCCACUAUAUUGUAUGUGUUGUGAAUGUACGGCUGUUAAAUCUGUUUGUUUGCUUCUGCUGGUAUGUUGUGUGAUCAUUGUAACAAUCAGAUGCAUGGAAAUUUGGAGCAGUUAAUCCCAAUAGCGAGACAUGAGUUAUGCUCAAGGUAAUUGACCUUUGCAUAAUAAGAUAUAUGGAGCUCUUUUGAAUGCAGCAUUUUAGCUGAAUUGAUGGAAAUGUCAGUAUUCUACUUUCGUUCACAGAUUUCAAGAGAUUUUCCAUGCAAAAAAAUAAUGUAUCAAGGCCAGUUUUGUCGUGUAUUUCUUGGUGAAUGUGUAGCAAGCUCUUCGUGUGCUCAUUUUCUCCUCUGCUAAAAAGAAUUUUCCCAAUGAAAGAAGUACACGCUUAAUGAUUUAUGUUAUGUGUUAAUGAUAGGGAGUAUCAACAAGAACUUAAUGCAGGAUGCAGCCAGAUUGGGUCCAUUCUCGAUGGGGUGGAACUGGAGCUUCCAGGGGAUGGUUCUGAUCCAGUUCCAUUAAGGGUGUAUUUUUUUUGGAGCUUGGCCUGGUGUGGUUUUGUCCAUGCCUAUGAACAGGCUGCCCUCCAUGCCAUAAGAUUUUUAUAGGGCUUAUAUGGGUUUGUAGUUCGAGAUUAUAAUUAUGACUGUAUGAUGGUCUAUAGGAGCUUCCUUCGUUUUUCCAUGACAGUUUCAGUUUCAGCCGUCCGGUCUGUUGGGUGCCUGCAGAGGGAGGGUGCCUGUAGAGGGGAUUGUUCUCUGUGAACGUGGAAAUUAAUCCAGAUAUUGUAUCUACUGUCCCAUUUCGAUUGGGCUCUGUUGUACUCACAUUUACUAUUAAACAUGGAUAUUAUAACAUUGAAUAAAGGGGGUAUUAAAUGUAAAAAA